GUUAAAGUGACAGAGUAAAAUGUGAGGAAUUUAAGCUUCCUAAAUGAAAUUUUCCUUUAAUA
rnacentral:tRNA from 1 species